AAAUGUAAAGCUAUUGCGCCACUGAGACCCAUAUGUAUAUAUAUAAUAUAUAAAUACAGUGUGGGAAUGGAAUAAGUGUAGUAGUAGUGGAUCAUCUCGGAGAGGUCAGCAUCAGUUACAAGAAAAAGAUUAGGGGUGCAAAAGGUAGGUCCUUUGUGGACUGCUUUAUAGAUGCACUACUAUUAUUCUGCUUUUUCUUGUGACUGAAGUGUGCUCUUGAAAUUAGGGAAUUUGAGCCAUACUCUUUUGAGUACUCGAAUUCUGUGAUGCUGGCUGAAAUGGUUUCAACCGACCCGUCUUGAAACACGGACCAAGGAGUCUAACAUAUGUGCAAGUAUGCGGGUGACAAUCCUGUAUGCGAAAUGAAAGUGAGAGUAGGGAAAAGUUCAUUAUUUUGAUGUUCUUUGCACCAUACGACCGACCACGAUCAUUUAGAGAGAGGUUUGAGUUGGAGCAUAUCUGUUAGGA
rnacentral:rRNA from 1 species